rnacentral:lncRNA from 1 species
CUGGCCAACUUCGUCCGCCGGACUCGGAAUGGCGCGAGACUUUGCGAGGCACCUCCGUGUGCUAAAAAUAGGCCGCGGACACAGUCGCGCCCAAAAAUAACCGCCCGAAAGCCGGGGCGCCAAGUUCGUCCAGCGUAAAAAGGCCGCAAAAACGGGUGGGCUAUAGCCUUGGGGGGUGGGGCUGGCCAACUUCGUCCGCCGGACUCAGAAUGGCGCGACACUUUACGAGGUGCCUCCGUGUGCAUAAAAUAGGCCGCGGGCACAGCCGCGCCCAAAAAUAACCGCCCGAAGGCCGGGGCGCCAAGUUCGUCGAGCGGAAAAAGCCCACAAAAAUGGGUGGGCUAUAGCCUUGGGGGGUGGGGCUGGCCAACUUCGUCCGCCGGACUCGGAAUGGCGCUAGACUUUACGAGGCGCCUCCGCAUGCCAAAAUUAGGCGCGGCCGCUGCCGCGCACAAAAAUAACUGCCCGAAGGCCGGGGCGCCAAGUUCGUUCAGCGGAAAAUGGCCACAAAAACGGGUGGGCUAUAGCCUUGGGGGGUGGGGCUGGCCAACUUCGUGCGCCGGACUCGGAAUGACGCGAGACUUUGCGAGGCGCCUCCGUGUGCUAAAAAUAGACCGCGGGCACAGCCGCGCCCAAAAAUAACCGUCCGAAAGCCGGGGCGCCAAGUUCGUCCAGCGGAAAAAGCCCACAAAAACGGGUGGGCUAUAGCCUUGGGGGGUUGGGCUGGCCCACUUCGUCCGCCAGACUCGGAAUGGCGCGAGACCUUGCGAGGCAUCUCCGUGUGCCAAAAAUAGGCCGCGGGCACAGCCACGCCCAAAAAUAACUGCCCGAAGGCCGGGGCGCCAAGUUCGUCCAGCGGAAAAAGCCCACAAAAACGGGCGGACUAUAGCCUUGGGGGGUGGUGCUGGCCAACUUCGUCCGCCGGACUCGGAAUGGCGCGAGACUUUGUGAGGCACCUCCGUGUGCCAAAAAUAGGCCGCGGGCAGAGUCGUACCCAAAAAUAACUGCCCGAAAGCCGGGGCGCCAAGUUUGUCCAGUGGAAAAAGGCCACAAAAACGUGUUGGCUAUAGCCUUGGGGCGGUCGGCUGGCCAACUUCGACCGCCGGUCUCGGAAUGGCGCUAGACUUUGGGAGGUGCCUCCAUGUGCAAAAAACUGGCCGCGGGCACAGCCACGCCCAAAAAUAACCGCCGGAAGGCCGGGGCGCCAAGUUCGUCCAGCGGAAAAAGGCCACAAAAACGGGUGGGCUAUAGCCUUGGGGGGUGGGGCUGGCCAACUUCGUCCGCCGGACUCGGAAUGGAGCGAGAUUUUGCAAGGCAUCUCCGUGUGCCAAAAAUAGGCCGUGGCAAAAGCCGCGCCCAAAAAUAACCGCCCGAAGGCCGGGGCGCCAAGUUCGUCCAGCGGAAAAACGCCACAGAAACGGGUGGGCUAUAGCCUUGGGGGGUGGGGCUGGCCAACUUCGUCCGCCGGACUCGGAAUGCCGCGAGACUUUGCGAGGGACCUCCGUGUGCCAAAAAUAGGCCGCGGGCAAAGCCGUACCCAAAAAUAACCGCCCGAAGGCCGGGGCGCCAAGUUCGUCCAGCGGAAAAAGGCCACAAAAACGGGUGGGCUAUAGCCUUGGGGGGUGGGCUGGCGACCUUCGUCCGCCUCACUCGGAAUGCCGCGAGACUUUACGAGGGGCCCCCGUGUGCCAAAAAUAGGCCGCAGGCAAAGCCGCACCCAAAAAUAACCGCCCGAAGGCCGGGGCGCCAAGUUCGUCCAGCGGAAAAAGGCCACAAAAACGGGUGGGCUAUAGCCUGGGGGGGUGGGGCUGGCCAACUUCGUCCGCCGGACUCGGAAUGGCGCGAGACUUUGCGAGGCACCUCCGUGUGCUAAAAAUAGGCCGCGGACUCAGUCGCGCCCAAAAAUAACCGCCCGAAAGCCGGGGCGCCAAGUUCGUCCAGCGUAAAAAGGCCACAAAAACGGGUGGGCUAUAGCCUUGGGGGGUGGGGCUGGCCAACUUCGUCCGCCGGACUCAGAAUGGCGCGACACUUUACGAGUCGCCUCCGCGUGCCAAAAAUAGGCCGCGGGCACAGCCGCGCAUAAAAAUAACCGCCCGAAGGCCGGGGCGCCAAAUUCGUCCAGCGGAAAAAGGCCACAAAAACGGGUGGGCUAUAGCCUUGGGGGGUGGGGCUGGCCAAAUUCGUCCGCCGGACUCGGACUGGCGCGAGACUUUACGAGCGGCCUCUGUGUGCCAAAAAUAGGUGCGGCCACUGCCGCGCACAAAAAUAACUGCCCGAAGGCCGGGGCGCCAAGUUCGUUCAGCGGAAAAUGGCCACAAAAACGGGUGGGCUAUAGCCUUGGGGGGUGGGGCUGGCCAACUUCGUGCACCGGACUCGGAAUGGCGCGAGACUUUGCGAGGCGCCUCCGUGUGCUAACAAUAGGCCGCGGUCACAGUCGCGCCCAAAAAUAACCACCCGAAAGCCGGGGCGCCAAGUUCGUCCAGCGGAAAAAGCCCACAAAAACGGGUGGGCUAUAGCCUUGGGGGGUUGGGCUGGCCCACUUCGUCCGCCAGACUCGGAAUGGCGCGAGACCUUGCGAGGCAUCUCCGUGUACCAAAAAUAGGCCACGGGCACAGCCACGCCCAAAAAUAACCGCCCGAAGGCCGGGGCGCCAAGUUCGUCCAGCGGAAAAAGCCCACAAAAACGGGCGGGCUAUAGCCUUGGGGGGUGGUGCUGGCCAACUUCGUCCGCCGGACUCGGAAUGGCGCAAGACUUUGUGAGGCGCCUCCGUGUGCCAAAAAUAGGCCGCGGGCAGAGUCACACCCAAAAAUAACCGCCCGAAAGCCGGGGCGCCAAGUUUGUCCAGUGGAAAAAGGCCACAAAAACGGGUUGGCUAUAGCGUCGGGGGGUGGGGCUGGCCAACUUCGACCGCCGGUCUCGGAAUGGCGCUAGACUUUGGGAGGUGCCUCCAUGUGCAAAAAACAGGCCGUGGGCACAGCCAUGCCCAAAAAUAACCGCCCGAAGGCCGGGGCACCAAGUUCGUCCAGCGGAAAAAGGCCACAAAAACAGGUGGGCUAUAGCCUUGGGGGGUGGGGCUGGCCAACUUCGUCCGCCGGACUCGGAAUGGAGCGAGACUUUGCAAGGCAUCUCCGUGUGCCAAAAAUAGGCCGCGGCAAAAGCCGCGCCCAAAAAUAACCGCCCGAAGGCCGGGGCGCCAAGUUCGUCCAGCGGAAAAACGCCACAGAAACGGGUGGGCUAUAGCCUUGGGGGGUGGGGCUGGCCAACUUCGUCCGCCGGACUCGGAAUGUCGCGGGACUUUGCGAGGCACCUCCGAAGGCCAAAAAUAGGCUGCGGGCAAAGCCGCACCCAAAAAUAACCGCCCGAAGGCCGGGGCGCCAAGUUCGUCCAGCGGAAAAAGGCCACAAAAAAGGGUGGGCUAUAGCCUUGGGGGGUGGGCUAGAGCCUUGGGGGUUGGGCUGGCCACCUUCGUCCGCCUCUUUCGGAAUGCCCCCAGACUUUACGAGGGGCCUCCGUGUGCCAAAAAUAGGCCGCGGGCAAAGCCGCGCCCAAAAAUAACCGCCCGAAGGCCGGGGCGCCAAGUUCGUCCAGCGGAAAAAGGCCACAAAAACGGGUGAGCUAUAGCCUUGGGGGGUGGGGCUGGCCAACUUCGUCCGCCGGACUCGGAAUGCCGCCAGACUUUCCGAGGGGCCUCCGUGUGCCAAAAAUAGGCCGCGGGCAAAGCCGCGCCCAAAAAUAACCGCCCGAAGGCCGGGGCACCAAGUUCGUCCAGCGGAAAAAGGCCACAAAAACGGGUGGGCUAUAGCCUUGGGGGGUGGGGCUGGCCUACUUCGUCCGCCGGACUCGGAAUGCUGCGAGACUUUGCGAGGGACCUCCGUGUGCCAAAAAUAGGCCGCGGGUAAAGCCGCACCCAAAAAUAACCGCCCGAAGGCCGGGGCGCCAAGUUCNNNNNNNNNNNNNNNNNNNNNNNNNNNNNNNNNNNNNNNNNNNNNNNNNNNNNNNNNNNNNNNNNNNNNNNNNNNNNNNNNNNNNNNNNNNNNNNNNNNNNNNNNNNNNNNNNNNNNNNNNNNNNNNNNNNNNNNNNNNNNNNNNNNNNNNNNNNNNNNNNNNNNNNNNNNNNNNNNNNNNNNNNNNNNNNNNNNNNNNNNNNNNNNNNNNNNNNNNNNNNNNNNNNNNNNNNNNNNNNNNNNNNNNNNNNNNNNNNNNNNNNNNNNNNNNNNNNNNNNNNNNNNNNNNNNNNNNNNNNNNNNNNNNNNNNNNNNNNNNNNNNNNNNNNNNNNNNNNNNNNNNNNNNNNNNNNNNCGCGAGCCUUUCCGGGGGCCCCCGUGUGCCAAAAAUAGGGCGCGGACAAAGCCGCGCCCAAAAAUAACCCCCCGAAGGCCGGGGCGCCAAGUUGGUCCAGCGGAAAAAGGCCACAAAACCGGGUGGGCUAUACCCUUGGGGGGUGGGCUGGCGACCUUCGUCCGCCUCACUCGGAAUGCCACGUGACUUUGCGAGGGGCCUCCGUGUGCCAAAAAUAAGCCGCGGACAAAGCCGCGCCCAAAAAUAACGGCCCGAAGGCCGGGGCGCCAAGUUCGUCCAGCCGAAAAAGGCCACAAAAACGGGUGGGCUAUAGCCUUGGGGGGUGGGGCACGCCAACUUCGUCCGCCGGACUAGGAAUGCCGCGAGACUUUGCGAGGUGCCUCGUGUGCCAAAAAUAGGGCGCGGACAAAGCCGCGCCCAAAAAUAACUGCCCGAAAGCCGGGGCGCCAAGUUCGUCCAGCGGUAAAAGUUCACAAAAACGGGUGGGCUAUAGCCUUGGGGGGUGGGCUGGCCAACUUCGUCCGCCGGACUCGAAAUGCCGCGAGACAUUGUGAGGGGCCUCCGUGUGCCAAAAAUAGGCCGCGGGCAAAGCCACACCCAAAAAUAACCAACCGAAGGCCGGGGCGCCAAGUUCGUCCAGUGGGAAAAGGCCACAAAAACGGGUGGGCUAUAGCCUUGGGGGGUGGGGCUGGCCUACUUCGUCCGCCGGACUCGGAAUGCCGCGAGACUUUGCGAGGGGCCUCCGUGUGCCAAAAAUAGGCCGCGGACAAGGCCGCGCCCAAAAAUAACCGCCCGAAGGCCGGGGCGCCAAGUUCGUCCUGCGGAAAAAGUCCACAAAAACGGGUGGGCUAUAGCCUUGGGGGGUGGGGCGGACCAACUUCGUCCGCCGGACUCGGAAUGGUACGAGACGUUGCGAGGGCUUUCGUGUGCCAAAAAUAGGCCGCGGACAAAGCCGCACCCAAUAAUAACUGCCCGAAGCCCGGGGCGCCAAGUUCGCCCAGCGGAAAAAGGCCACAAAAACGGGUGGGCUAUAGCCUUGGGGGGUGGGGCUGGCCAACUUCGUCCGCCGGACUCGGAAUGCCGCGAGACUUUGCGAGGGGCCUCCGCGUGCCAAGACUAGGCCGUGGACAAAGCCGCGCCCAAAAAUAACCGCCGGAAGACCGGGGCGCCAAGUUCGUCCAGCGGAAAAAGGCCACAAAAACGGGUGGGCUAUAGCCUUGGGGGGUGGGGCUGGCCCACUUCGUCCGCCGGGCUCGGAAUGCCGCGAGACUUUGCCAGGGGCCUCUGUGUGCCAAAAAUAGGCCGCGGGAAAGCCGCGCCCAAAAAUAACUGCCCGAAGACCGGGGCGCCAAGUUCGUCCAGCGGUAAAAGGCCACAAAAACGGGUUGGCUAUAGCCUUGGGGGGUGGGGCUGGCCAACUUGGUCCGCCGGACUCCGAAUAGUGCGAGACUUUGCAAGGCACCUCCGUGUGCCAAGAAUAGGCCACGGGCACAGCCGCGCCCAAAAAUAACCACCCGAUGGCCGGGGCGGCAGUUCGUCCAGCGGAAAAAGCCCACAAAAACGGGUGGGCUAUAGCCUUGGGGUGUGGGGCUGGCCAACUUCGUCCGCCGGACUCGGAAUGGUGCGAGACUUUACGAGGUGCCUCCGUGUGCCAAGAAUAGGCCGCGGGCACAGCUGCGUCCAAAAGUAACCACCCGAUGGCCGGGGCGGCAGUUCGUCCAGCGGAAAAAGCCCACAAAAACGGGUGGGCUAUAGCCUUGGGGUGUGGGGCUGGCCAACUUCGUCCGCCGGACUCGGAAUGGUGUGAGACUUUGCGAGGUUCCUCCGUGUGCCAAAAAUAGGCCGCGGGCACAGCCGCGCCCAAACAUAACCGCCCGAAGGCCGGGGCGCCAAGUUCGUCCAGCGGAAAAAGCCCACAAAAACGGGUGUGCGAUAGCCUUGGGGGGUGAGGCUGGCCACCUUCGUCCGCCGGACUCGGAAUGGCACGAGACUUUGUGAGGCACCUCCGUGUGCCAAAAAUAGGCCGCGGGCACAGCCGCGCCAAAAAAUAACUGCCCGAAGGCCGGGGCGCCAAGCUCGCCCAGCGGAAAAAGCCCACAAAAACGGGUGGGCUAUAGCCUUGGCGGGUGGGGCUGGCCAACUUUGUCCGCCGGACUCGGAAUGGCGCGAGACUUUGCGAGGCACCUCCGUCUGCCAAAGAUAGGCCGCGGGCACAGCCGUGCCCAAAAAUAACAGCCCGAAGGCCGGGGCGCCAAGUUCGUCCAGCGGAAAAAGCCCACAAAAACGGGUGGGCUAUAGCCUUGGGGGGUGGGGCUGGCCAACUUCGUCUGCCGGACUCGGAAUGGCGCGAGACUUUGCGAGGUGCCUCCGUGUGCCAAAAAUAGGCCGCGGGCACAGCCACAUCCAAAAAUAAGCGGCCGAAGGCCGGGGCGCCAAGUUCCUCCAGCGGAAAAAGGCCACAAAAACGGGUGGGCUAUAGCCUUGGGGGGUGGGGCUGGCCAAACUCGUCCGCCGGACUCGGAAUGGCGCGAGACUUUGCGAGGCACCUCAGUGUGCAAAAAAUAGGCCGCUGGCACAGCCGCGCCAAAAAAUAACGGCCCGAAGGCCGGGGCGCGAAGUUCGUCGAGCGGAAAAAGCCCACAAAAACGGGUGGGUUAUAGCCUUGGGGGGUGGGGCUGGCCAACUUCGUCUGCCGGACUCGGAAUGGCGCGAGACUUUGCGAGGUGCCUCCGUGUGCCAAAAAUAGUCCGCGGGCACAGCCACAUCCAAAAAUAAGCGGCCGAAGGCCGGGGCGCCAAGUUCGUCCAGCGGAAAAAGCCCACAAAAACGGCUGGGCUAUAGCCUUGGGGGGUGGGGCUGGCCAAACUCGUCCGCCGGACUCGGAAUGGCGCGAGACUUUGCGAGGCACCUCAGUGUGUAAAAAAUAGGCCGUUGGCACAGCCGCGCCAAAAAAUAACGGCCCGAAGGCCGGGGCGCGAAGUUCGUCGAGCGGAAAAAGCCCACAAAAACGGGUGGGUUAUAGCCUUGGGGGGUGGGGCUGCCCAACUUCGUCCGCCGGACUCGGAAUGGCGCCAGACUUUGCGAGGCGCCUCUGUGUGCCAAAAAUAGGCCACAGGCACAGCCGCACCCAAAAAUAACCACCCGAAGGCCGGGGCGCCAAGUUCGUCCAGCGGAAAAAGGCCACAAAAACGGGUGGGCUAUAGCCUUGGGGGGUGGGGCUGACCAACUUCGUCCGCCGGACUCGGAAUGGCGCGAGACUUUGCAAGGCACCUCCGUGUGCCAAAAAUAGGCAGCGGACACAGCCGCGUCUAAAAAUAACCGCCUGAAGGCCGGGGCGCCAAGUUUGUCCAGCAGAAAAAGCCCGCAAAAACGGGUGGGCUAUAGCCUUGGGGGGUGGGGCUGGCCAACUUCGUCCUCCAGACUCGGAUUGCCGGGAGACUUUGUGAGGCGCCUCCGUGUGCCAAAAAUAGGCCACGGGCACAGCCGCACCCAAAAAUAGCCGCCCGAAGGCCAGGGCGCCAAGUUCGUCUAGCGGAAAAAGCCCAUAAAAACGGGUGGGCUAUAGCCUUGGGGGGUGGGGCUGGCCAACUUCGUCCGCCGGACUCGGAAUGGCGCGAGACUUUGCGAGGCACCUCCGUGUGCCAAAAAUAGGCCGUGGUCACAGCCGUGCCAAAAAAUAACUGCCCGAAGGCCGGGGCACCAAGUUCGUCCAGCGGAAAAAGCCCACAAAAACGGGUGGGCUAUAGCCUUGGGGGGUGGGGCUGGUCAACUUCGUCCACCGGACUCGGACUGCCGCGAGACAUUGCGAGGGGCCUCCGUGUGCCAAAAGUAGGCCGCGGGCAAAGCCGCGCUCAAAAAUAACUGCCCGAAGGCCGGGGCGCCAAGUUCGUCCAGCGGAAAAAGGCUACAAAAACGGGUGGGCUAUAGCCUUGGGGGGUGGGGCUGGCCCACUUCGUCCGCCGGACUCGAAAUGCCGCGAGACAUUGCGAGGGGCCUCCGUGUGCCAAAAAUAGGCCACGGCCGCGCCCAAAAAUAACCGCCCGAAGGCCGGGGCGCCAAGUUCGUCCAGGGGAAAAAGGCCACAAAAACGGGUGGGCUAUAGCCUUGGGGGGUGGGGCUGGCCAACUUCGUCCGCCGGACUCGGAAUGGCGCCAGACUUUGCGAGGCGCCUCUGUGUGCCAAAAAUAGGCCACAGGCACAGCCGCACCCAAAAAUAACCACCCGAAGGCCGGGGCGCCAAGUUCGUCCAGCGGAAAAAGGCCACAAAAACGGGUGGGCUAUAGCCUUGGGGGGUGGGGCUGACCAACUUCGUCCGCCGGACUCGGAAUGGCGCGAGACUUUGCAAGGCGCCUCCGUGUGCCAAAAAUAGGCAGCGGACACAGCCGCGUCUAAAAAUAACCGCCUGAAGGCCGGGGCGCCAAGUUCGUCCAGCAGAAAAAGCCCGCAAAAACGGGUGGGCUAUAGCCUUGGGGGGUGGGGCUGGCCAACUUCGUCCUCCAGACUCGGAUUGCCGGGAGACUUUGCGAGGCGCCUCCGUGUGCCAAAAAUAGGCCGCGGGUACAGCCGCACCCAAAAAUAGCCGCCCGAAGGCCAGGGCGCCAAGUUCGUCUAGUGGAAAAAGCCCAUAAAAACGGGUGGGCUAUAGCCUUGGGGGGUGGGGCUGGCCAACUUCGUCCGCCGGACUCGGAAUGGCGCGAGACUUUGCGAGGCACCUCCGUGUGCCAAAAUUAGGCCGUGGUCACAGCCGUGCCAAAAAAUAACUGCCCGAAGGCCGGGGCGCCAAGUUCGUCCAGCGGAAAAAGCCCACAAAAACGGUUGGCUAUAGCCUUGGCGGGUUGGGCGGGCCAACUUUGUCCGCCGGACUCGGAAUGCCGCGAGACUUUGCGAGGGGNNNNNNNNNNNNNNNNNNNNNNNNNNNNNNNNNNNNNNNNNNNNNNNNNNNNNNNNNNNNNNNNNNNNNNNNNNNNNNNNNNNNNNNNNNNNNNNNNNNNNNNNNNNNNNNNNNNNNNNNNNNNNNNNNNNNNNNNNNNNNNNNNNNNNNNNNNNNNNNNNNNNNNNNNNNNNNNNNNNNNNNNNNNNNNNNNNNNNNNNNNNNNNNNNNNNNNNNNNNNNNNNNNNNNNNNNNNNNNNGCCGGGGCGCCAAGUUCGUCCAGAGGAGAAAGACCACAAAACGGGUGGGCUACAGCCUUGGGGGGUGGGGCUGGCCAAAUUCGUCCGCCGGAUUCAGAAUGCCGCGAGACUUUGCGAGGGGCCUCCGUGUGCCAAAAAUAGGCCAAGGGCAAAGCCGCGCCCAAAAAUAACUGCCCGAAGGCCGGGGCGCCAAGUUCGUCCAGCGGAAAAAGGCCACAAAAACGGGUGGGCUAUAGCCUUGGGGGGUGGGGCUGGUCAACUUCGUCCACCGGACUCGGACUGCCGCGAGACAUUGCGAGGGGCCUCCGUGUGCCAAAAAUAGACCGCGGGCAAAGCCGCGUCCAAAAAUAACUGCCCGAAGGCCGGGGCGCCAAGUUCGUCCAGCGGAAAAAGGCCACAAAAACGGGUGGGCUAUAGCCUUGGGGGGUGGGGCUGGCCCACUUCGUCCGCCGGACUCGAAAUGCCGCGAGACAUUGCGAGGGGCCUCCGUGUGCCAAAAAUAGGCCACGGCCGCGCCCAAAAAUAACCGCCCGAAGGCCGGGGCGCCAAGUUCGUCCAGGGGAAAAAGGCCACAAAAACGGGUGGGCUAUAGCCUUGGGGGGUGCGGCUGACCAACUUCGUCCGCCGGACUCGGAAUGCCGCGAGACUUUGCGAGGGGCCUCCAUGUGCCAAGACUUGGCCACGGCCAAAGCCGCGCCCAAAAAUAACCGCCCGAAGGCCGGGGCGCCAAGUUCAUCCAGCGGAAAAAGGCCACAAAAACGGGUGGGCUAUAGCCUUGGGGGGUGGGGCUGGCCCACUUCGUCCGCCGGGCUCGGAAUGCCGCGACACUUUGCGAGGGUCCUCCGUGUGCCAAAAAUAGGCCAAGGGCAAAGCCGCGCCCAAAAAUAACUGCCCGAAGGCCGGGGCGCCAAGUUCGUCCAGCGGAAAAAGGCCACAAAAACGGGUGGGCUAUAGCCUUGGGGGGUGGGGCUGGUCAACUUCGUCCACCGGACUCGGAAUGCCGCGAGACAUUGCGAGGGGCCUCCGUGUGCCAAAAAUAGGCCGCGGGCAAAGCCUUGCCCAAAAAUAACUGCCCGAAGGCCGGGGCGCCAAGUUCGUCCAGCGGAAAAAGGCCACAAAAACGGGUGGGCUAUAGCCUUGGGGGGUGGGGCUGGCCCACUUCGUCCGCCGGACUCGAAAUGCCGCGAGACAUUGCGAGGGGCCUCCGUGUGCCAAAAAUAGGCCACGGCCGCGCCCAAAAAUAACCGCCCGAAGGCCGGGGCGCCAAGUUCGUCCAGGGGAAAAAGGCCACAAAAACGGGUGGGCUAUAGCCUUGGGGGGUGCGGCUGACCAACUUCGUCCGCCGGACUCGGAAUGUCGCGAGACUUUGCGAGGGGCCUCCAUGUGCCAAGACUUGGCCACGGCCAAAGCCGCGCCCAAAAAUAACCGCCCGAAGGCCGGGGCGCCAAGUUCGUUCAGCGGAAAAAGGCCACAAAAACGGGUGGGCUAUAGCCUUGGGGGGUGGGGCUGACCAACUUCGUCCGCCGGGCUCGGAAUGCUGCGAGACUUUGCGAGGGGCCUCUGUGUGCCAAAAAUAGGCCGCGGGCAAAGCCGCACCCAAAAAUAACUGCCCAAAGGCCGGGGCGCCAAGUUCGUCCAGCGGAAAAAGGCCACAAAAACGGGUGGGCUAUAGCCUUGGGGGGUGGGGCUGGCCUACUUUGUCCGCCGGACUCGGAAUGCCGCGAGACUUUAUGAGCGGCAUCCGUGUGCCAAAAAUAGGCCGCGGACAAAGCCGCGCCCAAAAAUAACCGCCCGAAGGCCAGGACGCCAAGUUCGUUCAGCGGAAAAAUGCCACAAAAACAGGUGGGCUAUAGCCUUGGGGGGUGGGGCUGGCCAACUUCGUCCGUCGGACUCGGAAUGCCGCGAGACUUUGCGAGCGGCCUCCGUGUGCCAAAAAUAAGCCGCGGGCAAAGCCGCCCCCAAAAAUAAGCGCCCGAAGGCCGGGGCGCCAAGUUCGUCCAGCGGAAAUAGGCCACAAAACGGGUGGGCUAUAGCCUUGGGGGGUGGGGCUGGUCAACUUCGUCCGCCGAACUCGGAAUUCCGCGAGACUUUGCGAGGGGCCUCCAUGCGGUAAAAAAAGGCCACGGACAAAGCCGCGCCUAAAAAUAACCGCCCGAAGGCCGGGGCGCCAAGUUCGUUCAGCGGAAAAAGGCCACAAAAACGGGUGGGCUAUAGCCUUGGGGGGUGGGGCUGACCAACUUCGUCCGCCGGACUCGGAAUGCCGCGAGACUUCGCGAACGGCCUCCAUGUGCCAAGACUAGGCCAAGGGCAAAGCCGCGCCCAAAAAUAACCGCCCGAAGGCCGGGGCGCCAUGUUCGUCCAGCGGAAAAAGGCCACAAAAACGAGUGGGCUAGAGCCUUGGGGGGUGGGGUUGGCCCACUUCGUCCGCCGGGCUCGGAAUGCCGCGAGACUUUGCGAGGGGCCUCCGUGUGCCAAAAAUAGGCCGCGGGCAAAGCCGCACCCAAAAAUAACUGCCCGAAGGCCGGGGCGCCAAGUUCGUCCAGCGGUAAAAGGCCAGAAAAACGGGUGGGCUAUAGCCUUGGGGGGUGGGGCUGGCAAACUUCGUCCGCCGGACUCGAAAUGCCGCGAGACUUUACGAGCGGCAUCCGUGUGCCAAAAAUAGGCCGCGGACAAAGCCGCGCUCAAAAAUAACCGCCCGAAGGCCGGGACGCCAAGUUCGUUCAGCGGAAAAAGGGCACAAAAACGUGUGGGCUAUAGCCUUGGGGGUUGGGGCUGGCCAACUUCGUCCGCCGGACUCGGAAUGCCGCGAGCCUUUGCGAGGGCCUCCGUGUGCCAAAAAUAGGCCGCGGGAAAAGCCUUGCCCAAAAAUAAUCGCCCGAAGGCCGGGGCGCCAAGUUCGUCCAGCGGAAAAAGGCCAGAAAAACGGGUGGGCUAUAGCCUUGGGGGGUGGGGCUGGCCUACUUCGUCCGCCGGACUCGGAAUGCCGCGAGACUUUUACGAGCGGCAUUCGUGUGCCACAAAUAGGCCGCGGACAAAGCCGCGCCCAAAAAUAACCACCCGAAGGCCGGGACGCCAAGUUCGGUCAGCGGAAAAAGGCCACAAAAACGGGUGGGCUAUAGCCUUGGGGGGUGGCGCUGGCCAACUUCGUCCGCCGGACUCGGAAUGCUGCGAGACUUUGCGAGGGGCCUCCGUGUGCCAAAAAUAGGCCGCGGGCAAAGCCGCGCCUAAAAAUAACCGCCCGAAGGCCGGGGCGCCAUGUUCGUCCAGCGGAAAAAGGCCACAAAAACGGGUGGGCUAGAGCCUUGGGGGGUGGGGCUGGCCCACUUCGUCCGCCGGGCUCGGAAUGCCGCGAGACUUUGCGAGGGGCCUCCGUGUGCCAAAAAUAGGCCGCGGGCAAAGCCGCACCCAAAAAUAACUGCCCGAAGGCCGGGGCGCCAAGUUCGUCCAGCGGUAAAAGGCCACAAAAACGGGUGGGUUAUAGCCUUGGGGGGUGGGACUGCCCAACUUCGUCCGCCGGACUCGAAAUGCCGCGAGACUUUACGAGCGGCAUCCGUGUGCCAAAAAUAGGCCGCGGACAAAGCCGCGCCCAAAAAUAACUGCCCGAAGGCCGGGACGCCAAGUUCGUUCAGCGGAAAAAGGCCGCAAAAACGGGUGGGCUAUAGCCUUGGGGGGUGGGGCUGGCCUACUUUGUCCGCCGGACUCGCAAUGUCGCGAGACUUUACGAGCUGUAUCCGUGUGCCAAAAACAGGCCGCGGACAAAGCCGCGCUCAAAAAUAACCGCCCGAAGGCCGGGACGCCAAGUUCGUUCAGCGGAAAAAGGCCACAAAAACGGGUGGGCUAUAGCCCUGGGGGGUGGCGCUGGCCAACUUCGUCCGCCGGACUCGGAAUGCCGCGAUCCUUUGCGAGGGGCCUCCGUGUGCCAAAAAUAGGCCACGGGCAAAGCCUUGCCCAAAAAUAAGCGCCCGAAGGCCGGGGCGCCAAGUUCGUCCAGCGGAAAAAGGCCACAAAAACAGGUGGGCUAUAGCCUUGGGGGGUGGGGCUGGCCAACUUUGUCCGCCGGACUCGAAAUGCCGCGAGACAUUGCGAGGGGCCUCCGUGUGCCAAAAAUAGGCCGCGGGCACAGCCGCACCCAAAAAUAACCGCCAGAAGGCCGGGGCGCCAAGUUCGUCCAGCGGUAAAAGGCCACAAAAAAGGGUGGGCUAUAGCCUUGGGGGGUGGGGAUGGCCAACUUCGUCCGCCGGACUCGAAAUGCCGCGAGACAUUGCGAGGGGCCUCCGUGUGCCAAAAAGAGGCCGCGGGCAUAGCUGCGCCCAAAAAUAACUGCCAGAAGGCCGGGGCGCCAAGUUCGUGCAGCGGAAAAAGGCCACAAAAACGGGUGGGCUAUAGCCUUGGGGGGUGGGGCUUGCCUACUUUGUCCGCCGGACUCGGAAUGCCGCGAGACUUUACGAGCGGCAUCCGUGUGCCAAAAAUAGGCCGCGGACAAAGCCACGCCCAAAAAUAACCUCCCGAAGGCCGGGACGCCAAGUUCGU